CACCUCGCAUCACUCACGCGCGGGCUGCUGGGUGGCGCACGUGCGGGAUGAAGCAGAGCCUGUGGCAUCGGCCGCACAAAGAGUUGUCCCGGCUUGACUGCAGCCACUGUUAUGCUCCGCUAGGCGGCGGCUUAGUCGUCCUCGUCAUCUUUUGUCCAUCUCACAACGCUUCAUUGACGGAGGCAAAACAAGACAGGGAAAACAGAAAAAGUUGCACCGACUUAACUGUGGGAAUUUUUUUAAUGAUGAAAGGAUUUUAGCAAACACGUUGCAGAGUUAACAGGGUAGUUUGACCUCAGCAGCGACAUCUGGCGAACUGUGUAUCAGAAAGACUUUUGUGUUACCUGCGCUGGAUGUUACCAUUCCUACAUCUCAUCGCUGCUAUAGGUAUGAAGCCUUAUUUUGCAAGCUUUAUUCAAAGCUGGAAAACAACAACAAAAUAACACAAGUGGCUUUGGAAGAAACAAGGAUAUGAGCAGCUUCCGUCGUCGUGCGAAUGUUUUACACUACAUCAAUUGCCUUUCAUGAGCUGGACCGGCCUGGAGUUUUGCUAAUUUCUUCCGUUCAGUUAUAGAGUGCUGUGCUCGACGAACGACUUGCCUCAAAGAAAUAAGGAAA